rnacentral:sRNA from 1 species
GCUGUGGGGCCGGCGCCGCCGCGCUCGGCGGCGCCGAAUCAGCUCGGCCGGGCUUAUCGGACGGAGAAGGCCGUAGGGGCGUGGAGCGCCGCCCCCCCGUCCCCCGCCCUUGCUCUUCAUCUGCGAGGAAGCCCGGCAGUCACCCAUCCAUUCAGGCGGUGCGGGCCUCGGGCCUCCGGCCUCGGCGGGGGCUCAGCCGCCGGUUGCUGGGCGGGGCGGCUCCACGCCGUAGGACUAGGGGGCCUGAGAACUCGCCGGCCCUGGGCCCCGCGGCUGGCCUUUGGGCCCCACGGCUUCCUCCCUUCCCGACGGCCGGGGGUUGGGGCGCUGGCGGUGUAUAGAGCUCACCACGUUUGCGUGGCGCUCUUCCGUCCACGCUCGUUACAGUUUCGAAUCCUCAGCGGCCCUGUGACGCGGGCGGCGCAGAGAUUCUCACCCCCAUUUCCCGAGGUCAAAGAGUAAAAUGAAGUACAUUCUGGUUACUGGUGGUGUUAUAUCAGGAAUUGGAAAAGGAAUCAUUGCCAGCAGUGUGGGCACAAUACUCAAGUCAUGUGGUUUACAUGUAACUUCAAUCAAAAUUGACCCCUACAUUAACAUUGAUGCAGGAACAUUCUCUCCUUAUGAGCAUGGUGAGGUUUUUGUGCUGGAUGAUGGUGGGGAAGUAGACCUUGACCUGGGUAACUAUGAGCGGUUCCUUGACAUCCGCCUCACCAAAGACAAUAAUCUGACCACUGGAAAGAUAUACCAGUAUGUCAUUAACAAGGAACGGAAGGGAGAUUACUUGGGGAAAACUGUCC